GCCCUGGUGGUGGAACUGGUAGACACGCCAUCUUGAGGGGGUGGUGCCGUAAGGCGUCCCGGUUCGAAUCCGGGCCAGGGCA
rnacentral:tRNA from 1 species